GAUAACCACAAAUCAAUAAAUCAAUUAAAUGGAAUUAAAUCUAUGGGUCACACAUCAAUCUAAACAUGGAUCAUGAACUAAACAAAGGUAAUGGAACUCAUAUUCAACAAUUAAAGAAUUAAUCAACAAAAUGCAAGGAUGGUCUAUCAAACCCUAAUCUAAACAUGCUCAAAUUGAUCAAGACUUCACAGUAUCAAACAUGUUCAUCAUAUUCA
rnacentral:lncRNA from 1 species